ACCGCGACCCCAGUUCACGCGGGAUUACCCGCUUAGUUUAAGC
rnacentral:rRNA from 1 species